rnacentral:rRNA from 1 species
UACGUAGGGGGCAAGCGUUGUCCGGAUUUAUUGGGCGGAAAGAGCGUGUAGGCGGCCAGGUAGGUCAGCUGUGAAAACUCGAGGCUCAACCUCGAGACGUCGGUUGAAACCACCUGGCUAGAGUCCGGAAGAGGAGAGUGGAAUUCCUGGUGUAGCGGUGAAAUGCGCAGAUAUCAGGAAGAACACCCGUGGCGAAGGCGGCUCUCUGGGACGGUACUGACGCUGAGACGCGAAAGCGUGGGGAGCGAACAGG